rnacentral:lncRNA from 1 species
UAAUAAAGCAAUUACAAAAACUAAUAUUUAUUGAAAUCAUAUAGGUCAGGCACUGUUUUAAGCACUUGACUUUUUUUGCACUAAUUUCUUACAACUCUACAAUUUUAGCAUAAUUAUCCUCAUUUUAUAAAGAAUUUAAGACACAGAAAACUUGGGUAAUCUGCUCAAAUUCACACAAUAAAGAGAGGCGCUGUGAAUGGAAGCCAGGCUGUUGGAAUGCGGAGCCCAGGAUACUGCUUGAGAAGAUUUUUAAAUUCUAAAGCAAAGAGGCACUGUGACCUGCAUCGAAUUCCACUAAAUUGCUGACUUGUCCUACUGACUUCUUUUAACUUCCUGCUACUGUUCAGAAGGAACGAGAAGUUGGAUAAAAUGCACGAACUUUCCUGGAAACUUCCAGUGUUUCUACACAGCAUUUAAUAUUUCCACAUGGCGAGAGCGACAAGCAAUUCAGAGAGGGAUUUUAAGUUGGUUGUCCUUAUUACUGAAAUGAAAAAGCAAGACACUUUAAAAUCUUGAUUAAAGUGAGUUUAUAAGUGA